rnacentral:rRNA from 1 species
CAAUAGCGUAUAUUAAAGUUGUUGCAGUUAAAAAGCUCGUAGUCGGAUUUCGGGUCGGGCGGGGCGGUCUGCCGAUGGGUAUGCACUGUCUUGCGCGGCCUUCUUUCCGGAGACCGCGGCUACUCUUAACUGAGCGGUCGCGGGAGACGGAUCGUUUACUUUGAAAAAAUCAGAGUGUUUCAAGCAGGCAGCUCGCUCUUGCAUGGAUUAGCAUGGGAUAAUGAAAUAGGACUCAGGUGCUAUUUUGUUGGUUUCGAACACCGGAGUAAUGAUUAACAGGGACAGUCAGGGGCACUCGUAUUCCGUCGAGAGAGGUGAAAUUCUCAGACCAAUGGAAGACGAACCACUGCGAAAGCAUUUGCCAGGGAUGUUUUCACUGA